UACGUAACUAUUACGGUACUACGAUCAGCUGAUCACGUGAGUAACAGGUGGAAGGCCGCGACAAGGCCGGUCAUUGACUCGUACACAAUUCGUGGCAAUAUCAUCGAUCGACUUCGGUUUCGGUUCGGGAUCACUCGGACUGCACUCGAUAUGAGCACCACCGGUCGAUAUAAUUGUCAAUAUUUGCACGUCGAAAAGGUGCGAUAAAAGACAACAAUGAGAUUUUUAUCUAAAAGCUGAAACCACUUUCGACGAGUCCAAAAUCGGAUUUAUCUCAGAUGAGUGAUAUCAUCGCUCGAUUAUAAGAAUAAAAUUAACUCUUACAAUAAAAUGCUACAAAAACGCGGAACAAUCUCUACCAGCCGACGAAUUUACAGACAUCCUAUAUAUACUUAAAUAACAGGCAAUCAUCGAAGAGCAUUAAUUAACGAGUAUAUACGAUUGCAAUUACUGUGGUUAAUUACUGUGAAUUGUAUAUUGCCCAUUUGAAGAGCAUUGUGUUUAUAAAACUCGAGUAUGCUGUAUAAGUAAACUGUAUUAAUUAGUGUGUUUGUGUGUUGGUGCAUUUGAAGCAAUGACAGACUCAGAUUACACAGUGGCAAUACACUGUGUAUGCUGACCAACGGCAAUGAGCGUUUCUUAAGUGGCUUAUCUAUAUGCUCUAGGAUCCACGCAAGUGCUUCUUGAAUAAACAUAUAAGCUAUUCUUGUGCAUUCAAAACGUAUGUACAUAUGUCUAUCAAGUUUCUGUCAACAUAAUUUGAGAAUAAUUGAAAAAUCUUUAAUUAGGAUUUGAAACAUCAGUAAAAAAUACUCUGUUUGCAGAAGAUUAAUAUCAAGGAAGAACUUAUCAUAUUGUUAUGAGAGAGAGGCCAGAUUUUCCUGUUAGCAUAGAGAUUAGAUAAAGAGAGAGAUAUUUAGAGAUUAUUUAAAGUGCUGGUGGAUCCAAGAACGAUAUUGUGAAAAUAGCAACUAUACAUUUGCUAA